rnacentral:rRNA from 1 species
AUGAGAGCGCCCGUCAGGAGGAAUGACGAUACUCUGCUGGAACUGUCGGGGUUUGGGCCACCCUGGAACAGUUCGGGAACUCGUCUAGUGCGCAAGCAUCGCCCCUCUGUCGUGUUCAUCUCGGAGACACGACAGUGUAAAGAGAGCGUUAUGAAAAUAAGAGGGAUGCUAGGCCUCAAGCACUGUAUCACCCAUGAUGGUUUCAUCAAAGGUGUCGGCAUCGCCCUAUUUUGGGAUGAUAGCGUUGAAAUAAAUUUGCUCUCUUAUGGACCGCAGUACAUUGAUGUGCACAUUCCAAAUGAUCCAAAUGGCUUGUUUUGGCGAAGUACCUUUGUGUAUGGCGAGCCAAAAGGCCAUGAGAGGCAUCACAUGUGGAGUCUACUUAGAAGAAUAAAACACAAUUCAGUGAAACCUUGAAUGAUGAUUGGGGAUUUCAACGAGACCAUGUGGCAAGGAGAACACUUUUCUGCAGCAAAACGAUCUGAGAGAUAUAUGAGAAAUUUCAGAGAUGUCUUGGGGUGGUGUGACCUGCACGACCUUGGGUAUAGGGGUCCAUACUGGACUUUUGAUAACAGACAAGAUGGCAGAAAGAAAGUGAGGGCUCGACUGGACAGAGGAGUGGCUUCACCACAAUGGUCUGAGUUUUUUCCAUAGGCACAAGUCCAACAUAUUGUAACUUCGGGAUCAGAUCGUUUUCCUUUGCUACUAUCGCUGGUGAACGAACAACAACCCAGCAGGCUCAAACACUUCAGGUAUGAAAUGAUGUGGGAGAGAUCUCAGAAUUUGGAGGUCACCGUGAGAGAAGAAUGGGGUAACGAAUGA